rnacentral:rRNA from 1 species
UACGUAGGGGGCUAGCGUUGCUCGGAAUCACUGGGCGUAAAGGGCGCGUAGGCGGCCAUUCAAGUCGGAGGUGAAAGCCCAGGGCUCAACCCCGGAAUUGCCUUUAAGACUGCAUCGCUUGAAUCCGGGAGAGGUGAGUGGAAUUCCGAGUGUAGAGGUGAAAUUCGUAGAUAUUCGGAAGAACACCAGUGGCGAAGGCGAGUCCCUGGACGAUACCUGACACUGAGGCACGAAAGCUAGGGGAGCAAACAGG